UAUCGAAAAGAAGGCAACAAAGAUCCAAUCGGAUCUACCAAUCUCAGCCUCGACAAUAAAUCAAGGUAAGAUAAUACCUGAGGUGAAGAUACCUUUCUCAAUCCUCGGCAAAAAAUCAAGAUGAAUACCUCCUUACCAACCGAAGAAGCAUUCGGUCAUCAGCACAGGACAUCCGUGAAACUGAGAAGGAAGAAGAUAGGUAGAACACCAACAGAACACCAGUGGGAGAAGGCCAGGAAUAACACC
rnacentral:lncRNA from 1 species